rfam:Myotis brandtii contig200962, whole genome shotgun sequence.
UGCGGUUCUCGGGUGAUGCACCCCAGAAUCCAGCUCCCUCCUCUCUGGUUCCAAGUGCAUCACCCGAGAACUGCC